AUUGAACGCUGGCGGCAGGCCUAACACAUGCAAGUCGAACGAGUGGCGGACGGGUGAGUAAUGUCGGGGAAACUGCCUGAUGGAGGGGGAUAACUACUGGAAACGGUAGCUAAUACCGCAUACCAUCAGAUGUGCCCAGCUUGGAUUAGCUUGUUGGUGGGGUAACGGCUCACCAAGGCGACGAUCCCUAGCUGGUCUGAGAGGAUGACCAGCCACACUGGAACUGAGACACGGCCCAGACGCCGACGGGAGGCAGCAGUGGGGAAUAUUGCACAAUGGGCGCAAGCCUGAUGCAGCAACGCCGCGUGUAUGAAGAAGGUUUUCGGGUGGUAAAGCACGUUCAGCGGGGAGGCGUUACCUGCAGAAGAAGCCCCGGCUAACUACGUGCCAGCAGCCGCGGUAAUUC
rnacentral:rRNA from 1 species